GAGCAGCUGACUUCAACCCUGAGACGGACACUAAGUUUAGGCCAGAAACACCUAGGCAUAGAGGCAAGCAACCUUCUACCUACUUCAAUCUACUGAAAUUUUGGAUUUCAUGUCAUUUACAAGACAUCAAAAGCCUGACAAGUUUUGGAUGACAUAUGAUGCCAAAGAAGCUACAAGCCUAUUCUCUACAUUUUCAUAAUCUUCAACCUCCAAGCACAGAAGGAAGCCAACUACAAGACCCACAGCUUCCAGGGACUGCACAGCCCCGUGUCCGCUUAAGUCGUGCCAAUGGGAGAUCAUGGAAAAGGCCAAACCUUCAAGAAAGCAAAGCAGAGUCACCCAGUGUGAGGAGCUUAGAGAGGGGAAGAGAAAGAAGUGCUCUCAAUCCCUCCCGAGAGUUGAUCAUGCCUGUGCUCCAGUGACUCAUUUGUCUUCUAAUCCCCCUCCUUUAUUUUCCCCCACUGAUAG
rnacentral:lncRNA from 1 species